rnacentral:rRNA from 1 species
ACKGCUCAGUAACACGUGGCUAAUCUGCCCUUAGGACGAGAACAACCCCGGGAAACUGGGGCUAACUCUCGAUAGGCGAAGAACUCUGGAAUGAGUCUUCACCUAAAUAGUUCGGCGUUAUGCUCGUUGGACCGCCUAAGGAUGAGGCCGCGACCGAUCAGGUUGUUGGUGAGGUAAUGGCUCACCAAGCCUUUUACCGGUGCGGGCCGUGAGAGCGGGAGCCCGGAGAUGGGCACUGAGACAAGGGCCCAGGCCCUACGGGGCGCAGCAGUCGCGAAAACUUUGCAAUACACGAAAGUGUGACAGGGCUAUCCCGAGUGCCAUCCGCUGAGGAAGGCUUUUACCCAGUCUAGAAAGCUGGGGGAAUAAGGAGAGGGCAAGUCUGGUGUCAGCCGCCGCGGUAAUACCAGCUCUCCGAGUGGUGUGGAUGUUUAUUGGGCCUAAAGCAUCCGUAGCCGGCUAAGUUAGUCCCUUGUUAAAUCCACCGAAUUAAUCGUUGGAUCGCGGGGGAUACUGCUUGGCUAGGGGACGAGAGAGGCAGACGGUAUUUUCGGGGUAGGGGUGAAAUCCUAUAAUCCCGGGAAGACCACCAGUGGCGAAGGCUGUCUGCUAGAACGCGCCCGACGGUGAGGGAUGAAAGCUGGGGGAGCGAACCGGAUUAGAUACCCGGGUAGUCCCAGCUGUAAACGAUGCAGGCUAGGUGAUUGGACGGCCACGUGCCGUUCUAGUGCCGCAGGGAAGCUGUUAAGCCUGCCGCCUGGGGAGUACGAUCGCAAGAUUGAAACUUAAAGGAAUUGGCGGGGGAGCAC